UACGUAGGGUGCGAGCGUUGUCCGGAAUUACUGGGCGUAAAGGGUGCGUAGGCGGCGCGGUAAGUCGGGUGUGAAAUCUUGGAGCUUAACUCCGAAACUGCAUUCGAUACUGCCGUGCUUGAGGACUGGAGAGGAGACUGGAAUUUACGGUGUAGCGGUGAAAUGCGUAGAUAUCGUAAGGAAGACCAGUGGCGAAGGCGGGUCUCUGGACAGUUCCUGACGCUGAGACACGAAGGCCAGGGGAGCAAACGGG
rnacentral:rRNA from 1 species